AUUGAACGCUGGCGGCAGGCCUAACACAUGCAAGUCGAACGAGCGGCGGACGGGUGAGUAAUGUCUGGGAAACUGCCUGAUGGAGGGGGAUAACUACUGGAAACGGUAGCUAAUACCGCAUACCAUCAGAUGUGCCCAGAUGGGAUUAUCUAGUGGGUGGGGUAACGGCUCACCAAGGCGAAGAUCCCUAGCUGGUCUGCGAGGAUGACCAGCGACAAUGGAACUGAGACACGGUCCAGACUCCUACGGGAGGCAGCAGUGGGGAAUAUUGCACAAUGGGCGCAAGCCUGAUGCAUCCAUGCCGCGUGUGUGAAGAAGGCCUUCGGGUUGUAAAGUACUUUCGGCGGGGAGGCGUUACCCGCAGAAGAAGCACCGGCUAACUCCGUGCCAGCAGCCGCGGUAAUAC
rnacentral:rRNA from 1 species